rnacentral:rRNA from 1 species
AUUGAACGCUGGCGGCAUGCUUUACACAUGCAAGUCGAACGGCAGCGCGGGGGCAACCCUGGCGGCGAGUGGCGAACGGGUGAGUAAUACAUCGGAACGUACCCAGAAGUGGGGGAUAACGUAGCGAAAGUUACGCUAAUACCGCAUACGUUCUACGGAAGAAAGUGGGGGACCUUCGGGCCUCAUGCUUUUGGAGCGGCCGAUGUCUGAUUAGCUAGUUGGUGAGGUAAAGGCUCACCAAGGCGACGAUCAGUAGCUGGUCUGAGAGGACGACCAGCCACACUGGAACUGAGACACGGUCCAGACUCCUACGGGAGGCAGCAGUGGGGGAAUUUUGGACGAAUGGGCGGAAAGACCUGAUCCAGCGAUGCCGCGUGAGUGAUGAA